GAGUUUGAUCCUGGCUCAGGAUGAACGCUAGCGACAGGCUUAACACAUGCAAGUCGAGGGGCAGCGGGGGAGGAAGCUUGCUUUCUCCUGCCGGCGACCGGCGCACGGGUGAGUAACACGUAUGCAACCUGGCCGUCACAGGUGGAUAACCGGAAGAAAUUCCGACUAAUACAGCAUAACACUCCUGAGGGGCAUCCUUCGGGGGUCAAAGGAGGCGACUCCGGUGACGGAUGGGCAUGCGGCGCAUUAGGUAGUUGGUAGGGUAACGGCCUACCAAGCCGACGAUGCGUAGGGGUUCUGAGAGGAAGGUCCCCCACAUUGGAACUGAGACACGGUCCAAACUCCUACGGGAGGCAGCAGUGAGGAAUAUUGGUCAAUGGCCGGAAGGCUGAACCAGCCAAGUCGCGUGAGGGAAUAAGGCCCUAUGGGUCGUAAACCUCUUUUGUCAGGGAGCAAAGGCGUCCACGAGUGGACGAAAGGAGAGUACCUGAAGAAAAAGCAUCGGCUAACUCCGUGCCAGCAGCCGCGGUAAUACGGAGGAUGCGAGCGUUAUCCGGAUUUAUUGGGUUUAAAGGGUGCGUAGGCGGAGUGUCAAGUCAGCGGUAAAAUUUCGGGGCUCAACCCCGUCGUGCCGUUGAAACUGACACCCUUGAGUGAGUGAGAAGUAAGCGGAAUGCGUGGUGU
rnacentral:rRNA from 1 species